UACAGAGGGGGCGAGCGUUGUUCGGAGUUACUGGGCGUAAAGGGUGUGUAGGCGGUUGUUUAAGUUUGGUGUGAAAUCUCCCGGCUCAACUGGGAGGGUGCGCCGAAUACUGAAUGACUUGGAGUGCGGGAGAGGAAAGUGGAAUUCCUGGUGUAGCGGUGAAAUGCGUAGAUAUCAGGAGGAACACCGGUGGUGUAGACGGCUUUCUGGACCGUAACUGACGCUGAGACACGAAAGCGUGGGUAGCAAACAGG
rnacentral:rRNA from 1 species